GCAAACUUGGUCAUUUAGAGGAAGUAAAAGUCGUAACAAGGUUUCCGUAGGUGAACCUGCGGAAGGAUCAUUAUUGAAUAUGCAUGAUGGGUUGUUGCUGGCUCUCCGGGGCAUGUGCACACCUAUCUUGACUUAAAUUCAUCCACCUGUGCACCCUUUGUAGUCAUUUGGAAGAUGAAGAAGCCCCUGUGGUCAGUUCAAGUAACUGGAUGUGAGGUUUGCUGGAGCACACGCGAGUGUGUAGUUUGGGCUCUCCUCUUGUUGGGUUGCCACACUCUCUCCCAAAGACUAUGUCUUUUAUCAUAUACCACUGUACCAUAGUAAAUGCAUUGGAUGGGCCUUUGUGCCCGUACAAAACACACUAUACAACUUUCAGCAACGGAUCUCUUGGCUCUCGCAUCGAUGAAGAACGCAGC
rnacentral:misc_RNA from 1 species